CCUACGGGGGGCAGCAGUGGGGAAUAUUGCACAAUGGGGGAAACCCUGAUGCAGCGACGCCGCGUGAGUGAAGAAGUAUUUCGGUACGUAAAGCUCUAUCAGCAGGGAAGAAAAUGACGGUACCUGACUAAGAAGCCCCGGCUAACUACGUGCCAGCAGCCGCGGUAAUACGUAGGGGGCAAGCGUUAUCCGGAUUUACUGGGUGUAAAGGGAGCGUAGACGGCAGCGCAAGUCUGGAGUGAAAUCCCAUGGCUUAACCAUGGAACUGCUUUGGAAACUGUGCAGCUAGAGUGCAGGAGAGGUAAGCGGAAUUCCUAGUGUAGCGGUGAAAUGCGUAGAUAUUAGGAGGAACACCAGUGGCGAAGGUGGCUUACUGGACUGUAACUGACGUUGAGGCUCGAAAGCGUGGGGAGCAAACAGGAUUAGAUACCCUAGUAGUC
rnacentral:rRNA from 1 species